UAAAUCAGAAGGAAGCAAAAGUCACUAAGGUUUAUCUGUUUCUAGUUCCCUGGGGAAGCUGGCAUAUUUUCUCCAAAUACUUGUGCUUAGAGUACUACCAAGUUUGAAGAAGCAAGCAAGUGAUAUAUUGUUUCUAGUAAACAACAUCCAUUAUCUUCCUGGAUAUUACAACUCUAAAACACCAGCGCCUGAAAAAAAUAAAGUUUCCUGUCCAGAGAUUACGACUUUCUUUAAAGAUUCAAUGAAUAUUAAGCGACGAGUGAUGCACCAAGUUGUGACUCUUGAUAUUUGCCUUCCUGCACGUGGGAAAAAUGUUGAUCACCGAGCAAAAUCGGCAGUAUAUAAUAGCCCAAAGAGCUCCAGUGCAAGAAGGAGGGCCUUUACAAGUCAAGCAGAGGUGAUCCGGAAAUGGUCCUCCAGCUUGGAGGGUAGCCGGAGCUCAGGGCAGAAGAACCAGGAAUAACCCCCAGACCUUGUGGGCACAAGGAAGGCCAUGUACCAAGAAGAAUGUCGGUCUUAUUAGCUCCACUUUAGCUUCAGUCCAUUAUAGAAUAUCUUACCACAGGGGAUGUUUCUGGGGAUUUGUUUCAAGAGCAAAUGACAUUUCCCCCUCCCUUAGAAGUAACUACACUUUUCUCUAGGACCCCAUCUCCACUGAAGAUUGAUCUAAACUAAAAAUCAUCUUUAGUCCUGGAAGGUAAUCAUAAUAAUGACAUUUAUGUACAGGGCAUUUUAAGAUUUUCAAAGCACUUUACGUGUUAUCUUAUUUGAUCCUCUUAUAAAUAGAACUUGAACCUGAAAGGGUAUCAUGUUCUUCUACAACUUUGCUCAUGGAUGCUCAAUUUCUAUUUGGGGAACUUCCAAUCUUACUUCCUUUGUCAACCUUAGGAAAUCCAUGUGCAACCAACAAUCUUGAGGACAGACAUUGUCCCAGUCCUUCCUUCCCUGCCUCCUGCCUCGUCCUGGGAGACUCUAUUUCUUGCCGCUUUGUGGUUUUCGUCCUGACAGAUAACAGCAUAGGAUGAGAUGCUGAGUGUAGUGGAAAGAAAACCGGCCUCAGAGUCACCUCCUCUCAAUUGGAAUCAUGGCUUGGAUUCUUACUAGCUGUAUGAACAUGACCAAGCCUCAUCUUACUCUGAUCAACUGCAGAUACUAAGAGUUGCACUAACCACCUCACAAGCCUUUGUGAGGAAAAUGCUUUGUAAACCUUAAAGCACUAUAUAUGCAGAUGGAUUUUUGUUAUUAUAAAAUGUAUAGAUAGAAAGGACAUUGGCAGGCUGGGCAGGUCUGGAGGAGGUGACCAACAUGGUGAAGGAGAUGACAGAUCUGCUGAAAGAGCUAAGGAUGUUCAGCCUGCAUAAGAGAUGUGCGUGAUUCAUGAACAGAUGUCUUCAAGGAUCUGAAAGGCUCUCAUGCAGGUGACCUGGGUAGCUAGGGUAGAUAGUGGAUAUUGAACCUGGAGU
rnacentral:lncRNA from 1 species